GUGGGACCCGCCAACAGGAUGCCA
rnacentral:siRNA from 1 species